rnacentral:rRNA from 1 species
GAUGAACGCUAGCGGCAGGCCUAAUACAUGCAAGUCGGACGGAAUCUAGAUCUAAGCUUGCUUAGAUUUAGUGAGAGUGGCGCACGGGUGCGUAACGCGUGAGCAACCUACCCAUAUCAGGGGGAUAGCCCGGAGAAAUCCGGAUUAAGACCGCAUAACACAACAACUCGGCAUCGAGAUGUUGUUAAAUAUUUAUAGGAUAUGGAUGGGCUCGCGUGACAUUAGCUAGUUGGUAAGGUAACGGCUUACCAAGGCUACGAUGUCUAGGGGCUCUGAGAGGAGAAUCCCCCACACUGGUACUGAGACACGGACCAGACUCCUACGGGAGGCAGCAGUAAGGAAUAUUGGUCAAUGGAGGGAACUCUGAACCAGCCAUGCCGCGUGCAGGAUGACUGCCCUAUGGGUUGUAAACUGCUUUUGUCCAGGAAUAACCACCACUACGUGUAGUGGCUUGAAUGUACUGGAAGAAUAAGGAUCGGCUAACUCCGUGCCAGCAGCCGCGGUAAUACGGAGGAUCCGAGCGUUAUCCGGAUUUAUUGGGUUUAAAGGGUGCGUAGGCGGCUCAUUAAGUCAGGGGUGAAAGACGGCAGCUCAACUGUCGCAGUGCCUUUGAUACUGAUGAGCUUGAAUGUGGUUGAAGAUGGCGGAAUGAGACAAGUAGCGGUGAAAUGCAUAGAUAUGUCUCAGAACUCCGAUUGCGAAGGCAGCUGUCUAAGUCAUUAUUGACGCUGAUGCACGAAAGCGUGGGGAUCGAACAGGAUUAGAUACCCUGGUAGUCCACGCCCUAAACGAUGAUAACUCGAUGUUGGCGAUACACAGUCAGCGUCUUAGCGAAAGCGUUAAGUUAUCCACCUGGGGAGUACGCCCGCAAGGGUGAAACUCAAAGGAAUUGACGGGGGCCCGCACAAGCGGAGGAGCAUGUGGUUUAAUUCGAUGAUACGCGAGGAACCUUACCCGGGCUUGAAAGUUACUGAAUUAUCUAGAGAUAGAUAAGUCCUUCGGGACAGGAAACUAGGUGCUGCAUGGCUGUCGUCAGCUCGUGCCGUGAGGUGUUGGGUUAAGUCCCGCAACGAGCGCAACCCCUAUGUUUAGUUGCCAGCAUGUAAUGAUGGGGACUCUAAACAGACUGCCAGCGUAAGCUGUGAGGAAGGUGGGGACGGCGUCAAGUCAUCAUGGCCCUUACGUCCGGGGCUACACACGUGCUACAAUGGAUGGUACAGCGGGCAGCUACCUGGUAACAGGAUGCUAAUCUCGAAAAGCCAUUCACAGUUCGGAUUGAGGUCUGCAACUCGACCUCAUGAAGUUGGAUUCGCUAGUAAUCGCGUAUCAGCAAUGACGCGGUGAAUACGUUCCCGGGCCU